CAUGGACUGCAGGAGGGGCAGAUGUUUUGUAGUAGAACCUGUUCUACCAAGUGUGUGAAUGCGUUAAGCCUCUCCCUUGGUAGAGGACCCAGGCAGCUUCAUUGGAGAGCCAGUCAAAGCAGUUCAGCCUGAUCGAGUCAUUAACCCUGUGCCUUGCUCCAUUGUGUCUUUCUUCCAUCAGCAUAACUGCAGUUGGACAACAAAAUAUCUCCUGGUGUUAAAACUGUCACUAGUAGAAAAAUCAUGGGCUCCUGGAAAUGCUGCUGAGAUUACAGGCAUGACCAGAAGCUUUUUGAGAAAAUAGUCAAGAAACCAUGAAAUAAAAUGAAUUAUUUGAAUUGGAAUAAAAAAAUAAAAUGGACUUCCUUCUGACACAAAGGCUUCUCUGACACAAAGUUAUACAAUAUGACUAACUGCCAGGAUCCACCCACCAUUAUGGACUUUACUUGAAUUCUUAUUUUUGUCAGGAAAUUUUGAAAGUCUCCCCA